UACAGAGGAUCCGAGCGUUAUCCGGAUUUAUUGGGUUUAAAGGGUGCGCAGGCGGGAGAUUAAGUCGGCGGUGAAAUUUUGCAGCUCAACUGUAAAAGUGCCUUCGAAACUGGUUUCCUUGAGUGUAGAUGAAGUAGGCGGAAUUUGUGGUGUAGCGGUGAAAUGCAUAGAUAUCACGAGGAACUCCGAUUGCGCAGGCAGCUUACUAAACUACUACUGACGCUCAGGCACGAAGGCGUGGGGAUCAAACAGGAUUAGAUACCCCU
rnacentral:rRNA from 1 species